AGAUGUGAAGCAGCUUCUUGAUCUUGUGAAGAGCCCAGACUAUAAACUGGAGACUCUGAAGUGGAAGAAGUCAUGGUGAUAACCAGGAGGGUGGGUGGUGUGAGAGGAUGAGCUGUGUCCUGAUGAUCCAGAGGGUGAAGCAGACUCUGACUGGACCAUGUUACUGGGAGGUGGAGAGGAGAGCUUCAUCCACAUGGUCUCCAUUUAAGACCAUCAACAGAGCUGCACUUCAACUCUUCACAGAGCUCCAACAAACCAAGUCCACAAACCUCCUCGUUAUGUUCCUCCUCCUUCAUCCACAUUUAUUGGAUCAAAGCAGCAUCUGCGUCAUGUGUCUUUGAUUAGUGGAUUUGUCAGAUGAGGAGGAACUGAUGAGUUUAGAAACGACAGCGAAGAAAAACCUCAGAGUCAGACCAGAGACUCCGUUAGAUCUUCAUCUUCAUCAGAUCACGCGUAUCUUAUGGUAUGCAUUUUCUACAGCAUAACUCCUGAUUGUAAGUUAUUUAUACAGUGUAAUUCCUGGUUAUAUUUUUACAGCAUAUCUCAUAUCUGUUUUUAUAGUGUAUCUUUUCAUGUUUGUCAGAUGUUUUUACAGUUUAUUCAACUUAUAAGCUGUUUUUGUACAGAGACUUUAUGAUGGUUACCAGGCACAACAACCAUCUAUCACAUGAGGAGAGAGAUGUUUUAUAUCUUUAAGGUAGUAUUAAAUUUAAUUUAAUCUAAGACAGUUUAAUGUUUUAUGGCAGUUUUAAGUUGAAGAUUAUUUUUAUUUUAAAGGUGGUCUCAAGUUUUAAGGUAGUAUUAAAUAGCAUGUUAGUCUUUUUUUUUCCCAGCAUAUUUCCUGGUUAUAUUUUAAAUCGUCCCUUGGAGUCAUUUUUAUGUGUUGCUGAAGUUCCUGUGCAUGACCACCAGAGGGCAGUGACCAUUCAUCAGUCAGUCUGUCUGUGUAAUAAUAUGUGUUCAUUAUCAGUCUGAUAAACAGUCAAUGAAGAUCAGUAUUAUGGGAUGUGGGCUGUAGUUCCUGACAGUGACCACUGGAGGGCAGCGAUCAUCAUAGUUUCUAUCAUACGCUGUAAAACUGUGGGAGGACAUCGUGUGUCAAAAAGAAGCAUCCAGGUGAUGACCAGUAGAAGUUGUAGAAUGAACCUGGAACCUGGAUUAGUUCCUGGAGAGUCAGUAGCUGAUGUUUACAACUGUUUAUGAAUUGAACUUGCUAGCAUAAAGUUAUAAAUAAAGUUAUAUCCUAUUGA